UACGUAGGGGGCAAGCGUUGUCCGGAAUCAUUGGGCGUAAAGAGCGUGUAGGCGGCUAGAUAAGUCCGCUGUGAAAACUCGAGGCUCAACUUCGAGCUGUCGGCGGAAACUAUCUGGCUAGAGUCCGGAAGAGGAGAGUGGAAUUUCUGGUGUAGCGGUGAAAUGCGCAGAUAUCAGGAAGAACACCCGUGGCGAAGGCGGCUCUCUGGGACGGUACUGACGCUGAGACGCGAAAGCGUGGGGAGCGAACAGG
rnacentral:rRNA from 1 species